rnacentral:rRNA from 1 species
GACAGAGGUGCCAAGCGUUAGGCGGAAUCACUGGGCUUAAAGCGUGUGUAGGCGGGCGAUCAAGUACCUUGUGAAAUCCCACGGCUCAACCGUGGAACUGCUGGGUAUACUGGCUGUCUUGAGCCAGCUAGGGGCGAGCGGAACAGACGGUGGAGCGGUGAAAUGCGUAGAUAUCGUCUGGAACGCCGAAGGUGAAAACAGGUUGCUGGGGUUGUGCCGACGCUGAGACACGAAAGCCAGGGGAGCAAACGGG